GGGGGUGAACGGUUUCGACUGUGGACGUUGAUUCAGGGGAAGCGUGUCGGUGCAGGCGAGAGACCACCGUUAAGCGUCAUCGCAAACCAAUAAGCGCCACGUCUAACGACAAGCGCACCGCGUACGCUCUCGCUGCCUGACAGCGGAGCUAGCGGUUGUCGGCCUAGGAGUGCCUUCGGCCUAGUUCCCGGCAUCAGCUAGAGGGCUUACCAGCAGUCUCGGUCGCGGAGACUGCCCGGGAAACUCACAGCGACUGGGCCCGUCACACCUGCUCGUUCGCGUGACUGGUGGGGCCAAGCAGAGACAUAGCGGACUGCGCACGGAGAAGCCCUGAUGAACCGGCACAGGACCCGGGUUCGAUUCCCGGCACCUCCACUC
rfam:Lentzea albidocapillata strain DSM 44073 genome assembly, contig: LX89DRAFT_scaffold00011.11